rnacentral:snRNA from 1 species
CUGCUUGCUUCAGCAGCACAUAUACUAAAAUUGGAACGAUAAACAGAAGAUUAGCAUGGCCCCUGUACAAGGUUGACACACAAAUUCAUGGAGCGUUCCAUAUUUUU